rnacentral:rRNA from 1 species
UAUUGGACAAUGUGCGCAAGCCUGAUCCAGCAAUGCCGCGUGUGUGAAGAAGGUCUUCGGAUUGUAAAGCACUUUCGACGGGGACGAUGAUGACGGUACCCGUAGAAGAAGCCCGGGCUAACUUCGUGCCAGCAGCCGCGGUAAUACGAAGGGGGCUAGCGUUGCUCGGAAUGACUGGGCGUAAAGGGUGCGUAGGCGGCGAGAUAAGUCAGGCGUGAAAUUCCUGUGCUCAACCUGGGGACUCCCUUUGAGACUGUUUUGCUAGAGGAUGGAAGAGGCUCGUGGAAUUCCCAGUGUAGAGGUGAAAUUCGUAGAUAUUGGGAAGAACACCGGUGGCGAAGGCGGCGAGCUCUCCAUUACUGACGCUGAGGCACGAUG